UACGUAGGGGGCAAGCGUUGUCCGGAUUUAUUGGGCGUAAAGAGCGUGUAGGCGGCUAGGUAGGUCCGUUGUGAAAACUCGAGGCUCAACCUCGAGACGCCGGUGGAAACCAUCUAGCUAGAGUCCGGAAGAGGAGAGUGGAAUUCCUGGUGUAGCGGUGAAAUGCGCAGAUAUCAGGAAGAACACCCGUGGCGAAGGCGGCGCUCUGGUACGUGACUGACGCUGAGACGCGAAAGCGUGGGGAGCGAACAGG
rnacentral:rRNA from 1 species